rnacentral:rRNA from 1 species
AGCAGCCGCGGUAAUUCCAGCUCCAAUAGCGUAUAUUAAAGUUGUUGCAGUUAAAAAGCUCGUAGUUGAAUUUCGGGAUCAAUGCGUCGGUCGUGCUUUCGGGUACGUACUGGUGUCAUUGGUUUCUCCUUUCUGACGAGCCGUGAUGUCAUUAAUUUGGUGUUACGGGUAGUUAGGACUGUUACUUUGAAAAAAUUAGAGUGUUUAAAGCAAGCUAACGCUUGAAUACAUUAGCAUGGAAUAAUGAAAUAGGACGCUCGAUCCUAUUUUGUUGGUUUCUAGGAUUGACGUAAUGAUUAAUAGGGAUAGUUGGGGGCAUUAGUAUUCAAUUGUCAGAGGUGAAAUUCUUGGAUUUAUUGAAGACUAACUACUGCGAAAGCAUUUGCCAAGGAUGUUUUCAUUAAUCAAGAACGAAAGUUAGGGGAUCGAAGACGAUCAGAUACCGUCGUA